rnacentral:lncRNA from 1 species
GGAUCUGGAGAUUGGCCUUAAUACAUGUUGAGCUUUAAAAGAAAACCCAACAUGGCCCUUGGUAAGGAACAGCUUCCUAACGCUAUUGGACAAGGAGGAUUUUUCCCAGUACUUGGCAAGUCAGUUAUUAAAAUAACAGUAAGGGCUUAUGCCUGUAAUCCCAGCACUUUGGGAGGCUGAGGCAGGUGGAUCACAAGGUCAGAAGUUUGAGAGCAGCCUGGCCAACAUGGUGAAACCCUGUCUCUACUAAAAAUACAAAAAUUACCUGGGUGUGGUGGCACGUGCCUGCAGUCCCAGAUACUCAGAAGACUGAGGCAGGAGAAUCGCUUGAAUCCAGGAGGCAGAGGUUGCAGUGAGCCAAGACUGUGCCUCUGAACUCCAGCCUGGGCAACAGAGUGAAACUCUGUUUUAGAUAGAUAGAUAGAUAGAUAGAUAGAUAGAUAGAUAGAUAGAUAGAUAGAGACAGAUAUAGAUAUAUAUGCUUCCUACUGCUACUGUGAUAAAUUACCACAAACCUAAAGGCUUGACACAACACAAAUUCAUUAUCUUACAGUUCUGGAGGCCUGAAGUCUGAAAUGGGGCUCAGUGAGUUCAAAUCAAGGUGUGGUCGGGAAGGCUGCGCUCCUUCUGGAGACUGCAGGAAGGACCUUCCCUUUCCAGCCUCUGGAGACUGCCCGCAUUCCUCAGCUUCUGGCUGUCAUCCUCUAUCUUCAAAGCCAGCAGUGGCGGGUGGAAUCUUUCUGGGGCUGCCUCCCUCUUUCACUCUCCAAUGUGCCUUCUGAUAACCCCAGCUGACCUUUGCAUCUCACAUCAGCUAACAACCUUAAUACCUACUUGCCAUCCAUAUAACAUAACAGCCACAGGUGCUGGGGAUCAGUAUGUGAACAUCUUUAGGGGGCAUUAUUAUGCAUACAUAAUGUAAUAUAAUAUAAUAUAAUAUAAUACAUCUGCCCUCUUUUAACAUAAAUGGUAGCAAACCACACACUGUUCUGAAUCUUGUUCUUCUGGCUUAAUACAUAGUAUAGGUGGUUCUAGUUAAAUACAUAAAUACUGAGGUUUUUUCCCUUUACAUUGAACUCAUCAAU